rnacentral:tRNA from 1 species
GAUUUGAUAGUUUAAAUAAAACAUAACUUUGAAGAAGUUAAUUUGAUAUCUAUGUCUCAAAUCA